AGUGAACGCUGGCGGUAGGCCUAACACAUGCAAGUCGAACGACAGCACAGUAAGAGCUUGCUCUUACGGGUGGCGAGUGGCGGACGGGUGAGGAAUACAUCGGAAUCUACUUUUUCGUGGGGGAUAACGUAGGGAAACUUACGCUAAUACCGCAUACGACCUACGGGUGAAAGCAGGGGAUCUUCGGACCUUGCGCGAUUGAAUGAGCCGAUGUCGGAUUAGCUAGUUGGCGGGGUAAGGGCCCACCAAGGCGACGAUCCGUAGCUGGUCUGAGAGGAUGAUCAGCCACACUGGAACUGAGACACGGUCCAGACUCCUACGGGAGGCAGCAGUGGGGAAUAUUGGACAAUGGGCGCAAGCCUGAUCCAGCCAUACCGCGUGGGUGAAGAAGGCCUUCGGGUUGUAAAGCCCUUUUGUUGGGAAAGAAAAGCAGCAGGUUAAUACCCCGCUGUUCUGACGGUACCCAAAGAAUAAGCACCGGCUAACUUCGUG
rnacentral:rRNA from 1 species